rnacentral:rRNA from 1 species
CAAGUCGAGUGCGCAGUCUGCUGUAGCAAUACAGCAGAUCGGCGCACGGCGCACGGGUGCGUAACACGUUGGGUAACCUGCCCUCCAAAGGGGGAUAACCCGCCGAAAGGCGGGCUAAUACCGCAUGACAUUCCGGUGGCUUCGGCCGCCGGAAUCAAAGCCCGCAAGGGCGUUGGAGGAGGGGCCCGCGGCCGAUUAGCUUGUUGGCGAGGUAACGGCUCACCAAGGCUUUGAUCGGUAGCCGGUCUGAGAGGAUGGCCGGCCACACUGGAACUGAGACACGGUCCAGACUCCUACGGGAGGCAGCAGUGGGGAAUCUUGCGCAAUGGGCGAAAGCCUGACGCAGCGACGCCGCGUGGGGGAUGAAGCUUCUCGGAGUGUAAACCCCUUUCGACCCGGACGAAACACCCGCAAGGGUUUGACGGUACGGGUAUAAGAAGCCCCGGCUAACUACGUGCCAGCAGCCGCGGUAAGACGUAGGGGGCCAGCGUUGCUCGGAAUUACUGGGCGUAAAGGGUUCGUAUGCGGUGUGGUAAGUCGGAAGUGAAAUCUCUGGGCUUAACUCAGAGGCUGCUUUCGAAACUGCCGCGCUAGAGUGCGGGAGAGGCGAGUGGAAUUACAGGUGUAGCUGGUGAAAUGCGUUAGAUAUCUGUAGGAACACUCGUGGCGAAAGGCGGCUCGCUGGACCGC